rnacentral:rRNA from 1 species
AAUAAUACCCCGGUAGUCCUGGCCUUAAACGAUGAUCACUAGGUGUAGGAGGCUUCAACCCCUUCUGCGCCGCCGCUAACGCAUUAAGUGAUCCGCCUGGGGAGUACGGCCGCAAGGUUAAAACUCAAAGGAAUUGACGGGGGCCCGCACAAGCAGUGGAGCAUGUGGUUUAAUUCGAUGCUACGCGAAAAACCUUACCAGGGUUUGACAUCCCAGUGUAAUCCCUUAGAAAUAGGGGACCCCUUCGGGCACUGGUGACAGGUGGUGCAUGGUUGUCGUCAGCUCGUGCCGUGAGGUGUUGGAUUAAGUUCCGCAACGAGCGCAACCCUCGUUGCUAGUUGCCAUCAUUAAGUUGGGCACUCUAGCGAGACUGCCAGCGUCAAGCUGGAGGAAGGUGGGGAUGACGUCAAAUCAUCAUGCCCCUUACAUCCUGGGCUACACACGUGCUACAAUGGCCGGUACAACAGGUUGCUACCUCGCGAGAGGAUGCGAAUCCCCAAAGCCGGUCUCAGUUCGGAUUGCAGGCUGCAACC